UACCAGCACCCCGAGUGGUCGGGACGUUUAUUGGGCCUAAAGCAUCCGUAGCCGGUUCUACAAGUCUUCCGUUAAAUCCAUCUGCUUAACAGAUGGGCUGCGGAAGAUACUAUAGAGCUAGGAGGCGGGAGAGGCAAGCGGUACUCGAUGGGUAGGGGUAAAAUCCGUUGAUCCAUUGAAGACCACCAGUGGCGAAGGCGGCUUGCCAGAACGCACUCGACGGUGAGGGAUGAAAGCUGGGGGAGCAAACCGG
rnacentral:rRNA from 1 species